AUGAAUUGAAAGAGAAGGUAAGAGUGUUGUUGAAGCUGAUAUAAACACACUGUGAAAAUUAUGAGGGGUAAUAUUUCACUUUUCUUCUUGCCAUGCUGAAGUAAACGUCACGGCUUUCUAAUAACUUGAUAUACCGCUAUUAUGGUCCACGACAGGCAGUCAAGGGAAAGUGAGAGAGAGAGAGAGAGUGAGGGAGAGACAAAGAGAGAGAUAGAGAGAAAAGACGGAGAGAAACAAACAGACAAAAACUGGUACUAGAAACGUAGGAAAGAGAGAAAGUCAUAAGUGUGAAAAAGUCUUAUUUUCCAGGUAAUGAAUACAGCCGCUAGAUGGAGUGCUGGAACAUGUCGCACAGUAAAGGGAGGAAGUGUCCAGUCUUGCUAAACGGUUCUAGACCACGGCAGCCAUUCAGCAUCAACAAAUGAAGAGGCAGCUGGGCCAGGUGUAGUGAAGAUGGCAGGCGUCAGGUGGUGCAGGUUGUGUUGACCAGCGAGGUUUGCCAAGUCGUCUCCUCCAAUGGGGUAAGGUGGAUGGUGGACCUGUUCCUGUCAAGACUCUGGUAAUGUGUGGACGUGAGUAGGAUGGUGGGAUACAUCAGAAACUGGCGGCUUGUUACGUGGUUUCAUUGGACACAUUGAGCUGCAGUUCGUCUCUGAUACCAACGGCUUUUGUGAAGGGAUUUUCUUCUGCUGCCAGCCGAAUGCACUCGUCUUCCUGGGCAAGAUACUCGAUGGGGAUGACAGAUGCUUUGGAUUUGACUCCUGAGUUUGACUGAAGACGUGCUGAACUGGAAAUGGCAGAGACAGGACUUUGAAGGGUUCGUUAG